AUUCCUCAUUGCUCAGGGCUGGGACGGACGCCGGGGGUCACCGUGACCCCUGCCCCGUACCCCCGGAGGCGGGUGGGCACCUGUAGCGUCUGCAGGGCCUCCCUUUCGUGCAGCUAAGACCCUCCCUCCUGGCCCCGGGGGAGGGCGGGGCAGGAGGCGGCCGGCGGGAGACACUACAGGGACCGCGGAGGGAACCUCCUGGAACUGGCCGAGCUGAGGGCUCCGGGGCACUCUGCCCCCAGCGCGGGGCCUGGGAAGGGCGCGCCUCGGCCUACCCGCUGCCUGCCAGCCGGUGCUGGGGUGCUGGGCCCUCAGGGGGUCUCCGCCACCCAGGUGGUAAAAACAGGAAGGAUGCGACUGUUUGGGGCUUUAAUAGUCAACAUGGAAAAAAAUUCGAGGAAGUUGUACAGUAUUUUUCCUGUAAAGGUUUAUUAUUCUACACAGAACAAAAUAAAAAAAGCAGGCGGGUGCCCAGAGCACAGACCGCCUCCGGACCAGCCCUGAGGUUGGAGACCCGAGUGCAAUUGCUCACGUGGGGUUUUGUUUAGCGUUUAGUUAGAGGCCUUAACCAGGUUGAGGCUGUCUGUCUUUACACUAGCACUGAUGGGAGCUGCGUGAUUCCAACUUUUAACUUGAAUUUUGUAGAGACAAGAAAAAAGGACGAUUAUUGUUGAUACAAGUUUGUAGUUAAUUUAACAUUUGAGUUUUUCUCUAUUGGUUAUGCGUGUGGCUUUAUAGGGCUUUUUUUUUUUUUCCAGUUUGUUUUAUUAUUUUGUUUGGGAUACUUCUUUGCUGGUUCAACCCACCCAGAUUUGGUUCCCUUUGCAAAAUACACCCCUGUCCCCCAUUACCGCCCCCUUCAACGAUGAGGUCACCUACCCCAGGGCCAGCCCCCACCUGCCAGGCAAACACCCAGCCGAUGGCUCUGAUGGUGACAGGGACCGAGGGCACCCCUCCUGUUCACCUUCUCUCCAGGACCAUCUGAACUGGAGAGAGCGCAGGAGGGAGUGGUGAGCCGGAUGUACCUGAUUCAACAGGAAACAAGUGGUUUUCUAGAACAGCCCCUACCAGAGCCUCCUGAAUUCUGUGGGCACCAUGUGCUGCUGCUGAGCAUUCGCCCAGACUUUGUGCCCGGCCACAGAACCGUGGAGUCUGUGGAAGGAGUUUUGUAAAGGAAAAAAAAAUUUUUUUUCAAUGUAGCAAAAUCAAAAAAAAAAAAAAAAAGAAAAAAAAAAAGAAGAUGCCGACAGUGCGAAGUCUAGCCUUUUGUAACCUUCAUAUUGCACACUAGGACUAUAAGCCAUUGCUAGCUCAUUUUGAAUUUUAAUGUGUAAUUUUUGUUUUCUUUUCUUUCUGUGGGGAAAACAAUGCUUGAUCCACCAAUGCUCUUUUUAAUAUUUUAUAACUAUGUAUGUGUAUAUAUAUAAAUAUAAAAUAAUAUGUAUGCACAUAUGUGUGUGUAUAUAUCUAUAUGUAUAUACAUAUAUAGAUAUAUAGAGAUAUAUAGAGAGGUUUUGAGACGAAAAUGCAGAACGUGAAAACCGAACUGAACAGCGUGUGCUCUGAUUACUUGAAUCUGGUCUCCUCGGCACCUGGUUAUUAAGAACUGAAUAUUUUUCCACUUGAAUUUAGUGCUAUUAGAAAUUUAAUAUAUGUGUUUUAUUUAUUUGAUUUUUUUUUUUUUUGCAUGACUGAUGCAAGGUUUGACAUUUUCACUCAAUAAAAACUGGAAAAAAAAAUCUAUCAAGUUAUCUUUUAUUUUUGAAAUCGGCCCCAAGCGGCUGGCAGUGACCCAGCUGUGCAGGGCGGCACAGCC
ensembl:lncRNA